GUCAAAUUCAACCUUUCUUUACUCAUGUUCGUUUCACCGUGCUCUUCAUCAUUCGAAAUGUCAGCCAUGUUUGUUUGUUUGCAUCUCGAAGAAAAUAGUUGUCAAAGUAAUCGCCUUGCAAUUUCGCUACAAUAUUAAAAUUACUGAACGGAAAAUACAUUUUCCACUGGGAUCGACCUCAUUUUACAACCAAGGAGGAAUCUAUUGUAAAAGUUGCUGAAAUCAUCGUGAUGGAUCUCGCUCCGGACCUGCUAAGGGCAAUUCGGCGUAUCUUCUUAAUCCGGCAAAUGAGCGACAAAAUCUAGCUCGGUUCCGGUUUGCACCGUUGUGAAAGUUCUUCCGGCAGGUUGAUGUUCCGCCUUAGAAGCUGGUUGAACUUGUUCUGGAACUCGCCCCGAAAAUUGAAUGUGAACCGCAGUGAUAGAAUUGUGAAGUGACUUUUUUCCAACUUGGCCAGAUACACGUCUUUUGCAGCGGUGUGACUAACGCGACGGGUUGCCGGAAGAUGUCAUCAAAUGAAGAUGAAGAACAAGAACCGGCCGAAUAGGAACUGCAUCCAGCAGAGAUUGUGACGAAGUACCCAGCAGUGACCGAUUGAAUUAAAAGUGUGUGUGUUAAAUGAUGUGAAAUACAAAAAUAGUUCAAAACCUGUAAAGAAAAUAUAAUAAAUAAACUUUUUCAUUCCUAAA